rnacentral:rRNA from 1 species
CACCGCGGUUAUACGAGUAACUUACAUUAAUAUUUCCCCGGCGUAAAGAGUGAUUUAAGGAAUAUCUACAUAACUAAAGUGAAGACCUAAUGAAGCUGUUACACGUACCCAUAAAUGGAAACAUCCACAACGAAAGUGACUUUACAUAACCAGAAAUCUUGAUGUCACGACAGUUAGACCC